rnacentral:rRNA from 1 species
UGGGGAAUAUUGCACAAUGGGCGCAAGCCUGAUGCAGCCAUGCCGCGUGUAUGAAGAAGGCCUUCGGGUUGUAAAGUACUUUCAGCGGGGAGGAAGGCGAUAAGGUUAAUAACCUUGUCGAUUGACGUUACCCGCAGAAGAAGCACCGGCUAACUCCGUGCCAGCAGCCGCGGUAAUACGGAGGGUGCAAGCGUUAAUCGGAAUUACUGGGCGUAAAGCGCACGCAGGCGGUCUGUCAAGUCGGAUGUGAAAUCCCCGGGCUCAAGCUGGGAACUGCAUUCGAAACUGGCAGGCUAGAGUCUUGUAGAGGGGGGUAGAAUUCCAGGUGUAGCGGUGAAAUGCGUAGAGAUCUGGAGGAAUACCGGCGGCGAAGGCGGCCCCCUGGACAAAGACUGACGCUCAGGUGCGAAAGCGUGGGGAGCAAACA